CUACGGGGGGCAGCAGUGAGGAAUUUUGCGCAAUGGGCGAAAGCCUGACGCAGCAACGCCGCGUGAGUGACGAAGGCCUUCGGGUCGUAAAGCUCUGUCAAGCGGGAAGAACCCGCGGACGUCCAACAAGCGUCCGCGCUGACGGUACCGCUGAAGGAAGCACCGGCUAACUCCGUGCCAGCAGCCGCGGUAAUACGGAGGGUGCGAGCGUUAUUCGGAAUUAUUGGGCGUAAAGGGCGCGCAGGCGGCCCUGAAAGUCAGAUGUGAAAGCCCGGGGCUCAACCCCGGAAGUGCAUUUGAUACUGCAGGGCUUGAGUAUGGGAGAGGGAAGUGGAAUUCCUGGUGUAGAGGUGAAAUUCGUAGAUAUCAGGAGGAACACCGGUGGCGAAGGCGACUUCCUGGACCAAUACUGACGCUGAGGCGCGAAGGCGUGGGGAGCAAACAGGAUUAGAUACCCGGGUAGUC
rnacentral:rRNA from 1 species